rfam:Astyanax mexicanus chromosome 25, whole genome shotgun sequence.
UGUUAUCUAAUCCCGUCUGAGUAGGUAUCGAAAUGAAACAUUUACAAAAAAGAAAGAGAAUUUUGAAUUCCUGAAUGGUUCUGUACAAAAAGAGGUAGAUUAAUGUAAUUAUGUCAGCUUUAAAGUGGCAGAAAAGCCGAGGUCUAGAUUUUGUCUCACCUCACUCAGUACACACACACAUACACAUGCACAAUGCGA